GACGAACGCUGGCGGCGUGCUUAACACAUGCAAGUCGAACGGAAAGGCCCUGCUUUUGUGGGGUGCUCGAGUGGCGAACGGGUGAGUAACACGUGAGUAACCUGCCCUUGACUUUGGGAUAACUUCAGGAAACUGGGGCUAAUACCGGAUAGGAGCUCCUGCUGCAUGGUGGGGGUUGGAAAGUUUCGGCGGUUGGGGCUGGGCUCGCGGCUUAUGAGCUUGUUGGUGGGGUAGUGGCUUACCAAGGCUUUGACGGGUAGCCGGCCUGGGAGGGUGACCGGCCACAUUGGGCCUGAGAUAGGGACCAGACUGCUACGGGAGGCAGCAGUGGGGAAUAUUGCACAAUGGGCGGAAGCCUGAUGCAGCAACGCCGCGUGCGGGAUGACGGCCUUCGGGUUGUAAACCGCUGUCGCCUGUGACGAAGAGUGAGUGACGGUAAUGGGUAAAGAAGCACCGGCUAACUACGUG
rnacentral:rRNA from 1 species